AAAAACUGAACCAAACGAAGAAAAAGUAGAAGCAAUACAUUCAUUCUGUGCUUGAUCUCAUAAGAUAAAUCAUAUUUCACCACCAACCUAUGUUGUCAAAACGACAACAAUGAAUGGAGAUAAAGGUUUAAAAGCUUUGGAAACUUCAAUCAAAACCAUUAAAGAAGUCAUUAUGAACAAGAAAGCCAAAGAUUGUCACAGAUAUGGUGAUGAUGAUAAUCCUGAUGAUGAAGAAGAACAAGAUGAAGCAUAAAUGAUUGUGGAUUUUCAUUGGUUUCAUAAUUCCUCGAGAUUUUGAUUGGUUGGGGAA